AUUGAACGCUGGCGGCAGGCCUAACACAUGCAAGUCGAACGAGUGGCGGACGGGUGAGUAAUGUCUGGGAAACUGCCUGCUGGAGGGGGAUCACUACUGGAAACGGUCGCUAAUACCGCAUACCAUCAGAUGUGCCCAGAUGGGAUUAGCUGGUUGGUGGGGUAACGGCUCACAAAGGCGACGAUCCCUAGCUGGUCUGAGAGGAUGAACAUCCACACUGGAACUGGGACACUGUACAGACUGCUACGGGAGGCAGCAGUGGGGAAUAUUGCACAAGGGGCGCAAGCCUGAUGCAGCCAUGCCGCGUGUAUGAAGAAGUCCUUCGGGUUGUAAAGUACUUUCAGCGGGGAGGCGUUACCCGCAGAAGAAGCACCGGAUAACUCCGUGCCAGCAGCCGCGGUAAUAC
rnacentral:rRNA from 1 species